rnacentral:rRNA from 1 species
GUCUCUGCGGAGAAAAUUGAAUGUACCUGGUGCAUAAGCCACGGCUCACUACGUGCCAGCGGCCGCGGGAAUACGUAAGUGGCGAGCGUUGUCCGGAUUUAUUGGGUUUAAAGGGUGCGGAGGCGGACUAUUAAGUCUGUGGUGAAAUACCCCGGCUCAACCUUAACGGGUGCCAUUGAUACUGAUGGGCUUGAGUACAGACGAGGCAGGCGGAAUUGACUGUGUAGCGGUGAAAUGCAUAGAUAUCAUCAAGAACACCUAUCGCGAAGGCAACUUGCUAGACUGGAACUGACGCUGAGGCACGAAAGCGUAGGGAUCGGACAGGAUUAGAUACCCUGGUAGUCCACGCUGUAAACGA